rnacentral:misc_RNA from 1 species
GAAAAUGAAUACUUGAGUACUUAAUUCAAUGAGUUCUUGAAAGAACAGGGCAUUAUUUCUCAAUUAACUCCUCCUGGAACACCACAAUUAAAUAGUUUAUCUGAAAGGAGAAAUCGUACUUUAUUGGAUAUGAUAAGAAGUAUGAUGAGCUAUACUGACCUUCCAAUCUCCUUAUGGGGAUUUGCAUUAAAAACAACUUUGUAUCUUCUUAACCGAGUCCCUUCCAAAUCAGUCUCUUCCACUCCCAGUUGAAAUUUAUAUUAGUAGC